GUCACUCGGUGUUCUCACCGAAAGCACGUAAUCGCCGGUGUAACUUAUGUUCGCUGGGGGCCUCCCGGCGCGCGGAGAGGCUGGGGUGCCCCCCA
rnacentral:lncRNA from 1 species